rnacentral:rRNA from 1 species
AUUGAACGCUGGCGGCAGGCCUAACACAUGCAAGUCGAGCGGAUGAAGGGAGCUUGCUCCUGGAUUCAGCGGCGGACGGGUGAGUAAUGCCUAGGAAUCUGCCUGGUAGUGGGGGAUAACGUCCGGAAACGGGCGCUAAUACCGCAUACGUCCUGAGGGAGAAAGUGGGGGAUCUUCGGACCUCACGCUAUCAGAUGAGCCUAGGUCGGAUUAGCUAGUUGGUGGGGUAAAGGCCUACCAAGGCGACGAUCCGUAACUGGUCUGGGAGGAUGAUCAGUCACACUGGAACUGAGACACGGUCCAGACUCCUACGGGAGGCAGCAGUGGGGAAUAUUGGACAAUGGGCGAAAGCCUGAUCCAGCCAUGCCGCGUGCGUGAAGAAGGUCUUCGGAUUGUAAAGCACUUUAAGUUGGGAGGAAGGGCAGUAAGUUAAUACCUUGCUGUUUUGACGUUACCAACAGAAUAAGCACCGGCUAACUUCGUG